rnacentral:pre_miRNA from 1 species
UCUGUCAGAGUAUUACAUUAGGUACUGGUGUUGAUUUUUUCAAAAAACGUUGUUAUUGUUUUUCUUAUAAUAACAAACAUUUUACCUACCAGUACUUAUGUCAUACUUACAUACA